rnacentral:misc_RNA from 1 species
GAUGAAGAACGUAGCGAAAUGCGAUAAGUAGUGUGAAUUGCAGAAUUCAGUGAAUCAUCGAAUCUUUGAACGCACAUUGCGCCCCUUGGUAUUCCAUGGGGCAUGCCUGUUCGAGCGUCAUUUGUACCUUCAAGCUUUGCUUGGUGUUGGGUGUUUGUCUCGCCUUUGCGUGUAGACUCGCCUUAAAACAAUUGGCAGCCGGCGUAUUGAUUUUGGAGCGCAGUACAUCUCGCGCUUUGCACUCAUAACGACGACGUCCAAAAGUACAUUUUUACACUCUUGACCUCGGAUCAGGUAGGGAUACCCGCUGAACUUAAGCAUAUCAAUAAGCGGAGGA